GACGAACGCUGGCGGCGUGCUUAACACAUGCAAGUCGAACGGAAAGGCCCUGCUUUUGUGGGGUGCUCGAGUGGCGAACGGGUGAGUAACACGUGAGCAACCUGCCCUUGACUUUGGGAUAACUUCUGGAAACUGGAGCUAAUACCGGAUAGGAGCUCCUGCUGCAUGUUGGGGGUCGGAAAGUUUCGGCGGUUGGGGAUGGACUCGCGGCUUAUCAGCUUGUUGGUGGGGUAGUGGCUUACCAAGGCGUUGACGGGUAGCCGGCCUGAGAGGGUGACCGGCCACAUUGGGACUGAGAUACGGCCCAGACUCCUACGGGAGGCAGCAGUGGGGAAUAUUGCACAAUGGGCGGAAGCCUGAUGCAGCAACGCCGCGUGCGGGAUGACGGCCUUCGGGUUGUAAACCGCUUUCGCCUGUGACGAAGCGUGAGUGACGGUAAUGGGUAAAGAAGCACCGGCUAACUACGUG
rnacentral:rRNA from 1 species